GACGAACGCUGGCGGCGUGCCUAAUACAUGCAAGUAGAACGCACAGUUUAUACCGUAGCUUGCUACACCAUAGACUGUGAGUUGCGAACGGGUGAGUAACGCGUAGGUAACCUGCCUGGUAGCGGGGGAUAACUAUUGGAAACGAUAGCUAAUACCGCAUAAUAUUAAUUAUUGCAUGAUAAUUGAUUGAAAGGUGCAAAUGCAUCACUACCAGAUGGACCUGCGUUGUAUUAGCUAGUAGGUGAGGUAACGGCUCACCUAGGCGACGAUACAUAGCCGACCUGAGAGGGUGAUCGGCCACACUGGGACUGAGACACGGCCCAGACUCCUACGGGAGGCAGCAGUAGGGAAUCUUCGGCAAUGGACGAAAGUCUGACCGAGCAACGCCGCGUGAGUGAAGAAGGUUUUCGGAUCGUAAAGCUCUGUUGUAAGAGAAGAACGGGUGUGAGAGUGGAAAGUUCACACUGUGACGGUAUCUUACCAGAAAGGGACGGCUAACUACGUGCCAGCAGCCGCGGUAAUACGUAGGUCCCGAGCGUUGUCCGGAUUUAUUGGGCGUAAAGCGAGCGCAGGCGGUUAGAUAAGUCUGAAGUUAAAGGCUGUGGCUUAACCAUAGUACGCUUUGGAAACUGUUUAACUUGAGUGCAGAAGGAGAGAGUGGAAUUCCAUGUGUAGCGGUGAAAUGCGUAGAUAUAUGGAGGAACACCGGUGGCGAAAGCGGCUCUCUGGUCUGUAACUGACGCUGAGGCUCGAAAGCGUGGGGAGCGGACAGG
rnacentral:rRNA from 1 species